UACGAAGGGGGCUAGCGUUGCUCGGAAUUACUGGGCGUAAAGGGCGCGUAGGCGGGUGUCUAAGUCAGAGGUUAAAUCCCAGAGCUCAACUCUGGAACUGCCUUUGAGACUGGACGCCUAGAGUUUGGGAGAGGUGAGUGGAAUGCCGAGUGUAGAGGUGAAAUUCGUAGAUAUUCGGCGGAACACCAGUGGCGAAGGCGACUCACUGGCCCAAUACUGA
rnacentral:rRNA from 1 species